GAGGGUAUAGCUCAGAAGUAGAGUGCAUGCCUAGCAAGCAUGAGGUCCUGGGUUCAGUCCCCAGUACCUCUG
rnacentral:tRNA from 1 species